rnacentral:rRNA from 1 species
UACGUAGGGUGCAAGCGUUAAUCGGAAUUACUGGGCGUAAAGCGUGCGCAGGCGGUUGUGUAAGACGGAUGUGAAAUCCCCGGGCUUAACCUGGGAAUUGCAUUCGUGACUGCACGGCUAGAGUGUGUCAGAGGGGGGUAGAAUUCCACGUGUAGCAGUGAAAUGCGUAGAGAUGUGGAGGAAUACCGAUGGCGAAGGCAGCCCCCUGGGAUAACACUGACGCUCAUGCACGAAAGCGUGGGGAGCAAACAGG